rnacentral:tRNA from 1 species
GUCCUCGUAGUUUAAUGGAUAGAACGUCAGUUUGCGGAACUGUCGGUCCAGGUUCGAUUCCUGGCGAGGGCA